CCUACGGGAGGCUGCAGUGGGGGAUAUUGCACAAUGGGCGCAAGCCUGAUGCAGCCAUGCCGCGUGUGUGAAGAAGGCCUUCGGGUUGUAAAGCACUUUCAGCGGGGAGGAAGGCGGUGAGGUUAAUAACCUCAUCGAUUGACGUUACCCGCAGAAGAAGCACCGGCUAACUCCGUGCCAGCAGCCGCGGUAAUACGGAGGGUGCAAGCGUUAAUCGGAAUUACUAGGCGUAAAGCGCACGCAGGCGGUCUGUCAAGUCGGAUGUGAAAUCCCCGGGCUCAACCUGGGAACUGCAUUCGAAACUGGCAGGCUAGAGUCUUGUAGAGGGGGGUAGAAUUCCAGGUGUAGCGGUGAAAUGCGUAGAGAUCUGGAGGAAUACCGGUGGCGAAGGCGGCCCCCUGGACAAAGACUGACGCUCAGGUGCGAAAGCGUGGGGAGCAAACAGGAUUAGAUACCCCGGUAGUC
rnacentral:rRNA from 1 species